GCUUCCGAGGAGCGUUGCGACGGUCAGACAUCAUUGAUCGCCAGGCUCGGCAGCAUUCAAUCCGGACGGUUCGAAGGCACAUAAAACAGCCCGCUGAGCCACCGCAUCGAACGGCGCUCACGUCAA
rnacentral:ncRNA from 2 species